rnacentral:rRNA from 1 species
GGCGUUAAGUUGCAGGGUAUAGACCCGAAACCCGGUGAUCUAGCCAUGGGCAGGUUGAAGGUUGGGUAACACUAACUGGAGGACCGAACCGACUAAUGUUGAAAAAUUAGCGGAUGACCUGUGGCUGGGGGUGAAAGGCCAAUCAAACCGGGAGAUAGCUGGUUCUCCCCGAAAGCUAUUUAGGUAGCGCCUCGUGAAUUCAUCUCCGGGGGUAGAGCACUGUUUCGGCUAGGGGGCCAUCCCGGCUUACCAACCCGAUGCAAACUGCGAAUACCGGAGAAUGUUAUCACGGGAGACACACGGCGGGUGCUAACGUCCGUCGUGAAGAGGGAAACAACCCAGACCGCCAGCUAAGGUCCCAAAGUCAUGGUUAAGUGGGAAACGAUGUGGGAAGGCCCAGACAGCCAGGAUGUUGGCUUAGAAGCAGCCAUCAUUUAAAGAAAGCGUAAUAGCUCACUGGUCGAGUCGGCCUGCGCGGAAGAUGUAACGGGGCUAAACCAUGCACCGAAGCUGCGGCAGCGACACUGUGUGUUGUUGGGUAGGGGAGCGUUCUGUAAGCCUGCGAAGGUGGCCUGUGAGGGUUGCUGGAGGUAUCAGAAGUGCGAAUGCUGACAUAAGUAACGAUAAAGCGGGUGAAAAGCCCGCUCGCCGGAAGACCAAGGGUUCCUGUCCAACGUUAAUCGGGGCAGGGUGAGUCGACCCCUAAGGCGAGGCCGAAAGGCGUAGUCGAUGGGAAACGGGUUAAUAUUCCCGUACUUGGUGUUACUGCGAAGGGGGGACGGAGAAGGCUAUGUUGGCCGGGCGACGGUUGUCCCGGUUUAAGCGUGUAGGUGUGUGUUCCAGGUAAAUCCGGUUCACUUUAACACUGAGGCGUGACGACGAGGCACUACGGUGCUGAAGCAACAAAUGCCCUGCUUCCAGGAAAAGCCUCUAAGCAUCAGGUAACAUCAAAUCGUACCCCAAACCGACACAGGUGGUCAGGUAGAGAAUACCAAGGCGCUUGAGAGAACUCGGGUGAAGGAACUAGGCAAAAUGGUGCCGUAACUUCGGGAGAAGGCACGCUGACACGUAGGUGAAGUGAUUUACUCAUGGAGCUGAAGUCAGUCGAAGAUACCAGCUGGCUGCAACUGUUUAUUAAAAACACAGCACUGUGCAAACACGAAAGUGGACGUAUACGGUGUGACGCCUGCCCGGUGCCGGAAGGUUAAUUGAUGGGGUCAGCGCAAGCGAAGCUCCUGAUCGAAGCCCCGGUAAACGGCGGCCGUAACUAUAACGGUCCUAAGGUAGCGAAAUUCCUUGUCGGGUAAGUUCCGACCUGCACGAAUGGCGUAAUGAUGGCCAGGCUGUCUCCACCCGAGACUCAGUGAAAUUGAACUCGCUGUGAAGAUGCAGUGUACCCGCGGCAAGACGGAAAGACCCCGUGAACCUUUACUAUAGCUUGACACUGAACAUUGAGCCUUGAUGUGUAGGAUAGGUGGGAGGCUUUGAAGUGUGGACGCCAGUCUGCAUGGAGCCGACCUUGAAAUACCACCCUUUAAUGUUUGAUGUUCUAACGUGGACCCGUUACCCGGGUUGCGGACAGUGUCUGGUGGGUAGUUUGACUGGGGCGGUCUCCUCCUAAAGAGUAACGGAGGAGCACGAAGGUUGGCUAAUCCUGGUCGGACAUCAGGAGGUUAGUGCAAUGGCAUAAGCCAGCUUGACUGCGAGCGUGACGGCGCGAGCAGGUGCGAAAGCAGGUCAUAGUGAUCCGGUGGUUCUGAAUGGAAGGGCCAUCGCUCAACGGAUAAAAGGUACUCCGGGGAUAACAGGCUGAUACCGCCCAAGAGUUCAUAUCGACGGCGGUGUUUGGCACCUCGAUGUCGGCUCAUCACAUCCUGGGGCUGAAGUAGGUCCCAAGGGUAUGGCUGUUCGCCAUUUAAAGUGGUACGCGAGCUGGGUUUAGAACGUCGUGAGACAGUUCGGUCCCUAUCUGCCGUGGGCGCUGGAGAACUGAGGGGGGCUGCUCCUAGUACGAGAGGACCGGAGUGGACGCAUCACUGGUGUUCGGGUUGUCAUGCCAAUGGCACUGCCCGGUAGCUAAAUGCGGAAGAGAUAAGUGCUGAAAGCAUCUAAGCACGAAACUUGCCCCGAG